CACCAGCGUGAAAACCCAUCAAGAAUGAUCCUUAAUUAUAAAGAUUGAUACUUCGUUUAGAGAUACAGAGAUGAAAGCAUACCUGCUAGAAGGUUGGGAUGGUGUAGGCGAUUAGAGAGGAUUAGAGAUUAGGGUUUAAUAAAUGAAAUCUAACAUCUUUAGAGAUAUAAAGAUGAAAUCUUACCUGCUAGAAGGUUGAGAAUGGUGUACCCGAUUAGAGAACCUUUUUGACGAACAACACAUCAGAUUCAAUGGUCGUGGGAGGAUUAGCAGAAAGAGAUCCAAGAAGAAACCUUAAUGUGUGUGUAGUACGAUACAACUUGCAAAAGAAAAUAAAAGGGGAAACGGUGCAGGUGGAAGCGUGGUGAAGAAGACUAUUGAGAUUGAAAUUGGAAGCGUGGUGAAGAAGCUGAAAUCCUAGCGUGAGAUGAGAAGUGUUUUUGUAUUCUGUUUGGGUUAUAGAACUUAGAACUAUAGUCUUCAUCGAUUUUGACCCAUAUUACAAAACGGGUCCUCCUAACCCGUGCACCAAAGGAAAGGGAAGUGUGGUUUAGGCGGAAAAAACUAAAACGAAGGCCCUAGAUAGCAUCAUUUGUCUCUUCUAUAGUUAUCUUCUUUAUUAGAUAGUAUAGAUAGGAAAUAAAUCCAUGGGUUCGAAAUCGUUAAAAAAAAUUCGAACUCACUUUGUUCUUAUACAUAUAAGAGUAAAUUACUAUUUUAGUCUCUGUGGUUUAUGUAGGAACCCGUUCGUGCAAAAUUAAAUAAAACAUUAUUAACUUGACUAACUGAAACAAUUACAGAAUGAAAUAAUAAAAAUACAAUUACAACUAAAAAGAAUAGACAAACAAGAACAGAAAUCCGAACAGACGAAACUGUUCUUGGCUGAGGAUCGUGUUACACAGGUCCCUUAAAACAAAUUCCGUGUCUCCUAGGAGAACAUGUUUGUUUCCAGGAUACAACAGCCGCAAGCAGUUGCACUGCCGGUCUUUACUCCAACCCGAAGGUGUACCUUGCUUGCUUGAGAGAAGAAGAUGAGAAUUCUGAGAGAAGAUUGUAGAGCUGGUGAAUUUUUGGUGUCAUUCUUCAACAGGGGUACCACCCUAUUUAUACUAGCUGGACUUGAAGAAACUGAAAAACGAAUUUAAUGGGUGAAUUAAACUGCAUUAAACGUCUUCAACGCACUUUAAUUCGUCAUUAAAUUCUCAGUCAAACGCAUUAAC
rnacentral:lncRNA from 1 species